rnacentral:tRNA from 1 species
GCGCGCGUGUCGGAAUGGGAGACGAGCCAGGUUUAGGCCCUGGUGCCGAGAGGCGUGCGGGUUCGAGUCCCGUCGCGCGCACCA